UACAGAGGUCCCGAGCGUUGUUCGGAUUCACUGGGCGUAAAGGGUGCGUAGGUGGUUAGGUAAGUCCGAUGUGAAAUCUCCAGGCUCAACCUGGAAAUGGCAUUGGAUACUAUUUAGCUUGAGGAGUGGAGGGGGGGACUGGAAUUCUCGGUGUAGCAGUGAAAUGCGUAGAUAUCGAGAGGAACACCAGUGGCGAAGGCGAGUCCCUGGACACUUCCUGACACUGAGGCACGAAAGCUAGGGGAGCAAACAGG
rnacentral:rRNA from 1 species